rnacentral:rRNA from 1 species
GCUAAAUAAGAGCGUAUGGGGAAUGCCUUGGCUCUCAGAGGCGAUGAAGGACGUGAUAAGCUGCGAAAAGCUGCGGGGAUUGGCACAUACAAACUGAUCCGUAGAUAUCCGAAUGGGGCAACCCAGCAUGUUGAAGACAUGUUACACCGAAAGGUGAGCAAACCCGGAGAACUGAAACAUCUAAGUACCCGGAGGAGAAGAAAACAAAAGUGAUUCCGUUAGUAGUGGCGAGCGGACGCGGAACAGCCCAAACCAGAUUAGUUACGGCUAGUCUGGGGUUGUAGGACUGCGAUAUCUUAACAAAAACGAACAAGAACAACUUGGGAAGGUUGGCCAAAGAAGGUGAAAGCCCUGUACUGGUAAGUUUUUGAGCGGUAGCAGUAUCCUGAGUAGGGCGGGGCAGGUGAAACCCCGUUUGAAUCUACCAGCACCAUCUGGUAAGGCUAA